CUACGUGCCAGCAGCCGCGGUAAUACGGAAGGUCCGGGCGUUAUCCGGAUUUAUUGGGUUUAAAGGGAGCGUAGGCCGGAGAUUAAGUGUGUUGUGAAAUGUAGACGCUCAACGUCUGACUUGCAGCGCAUACUGGUUUCCUUGAGUACGCACAACGUUGGCGGAAUUCGUCGUGUAGCGGUGAAAUGCUUAGAUAUGACGAAGAACUCCGAUUGCGAAGGCAGCUGACGGGAGCGCAACUGACGCUUAAGCUCGAAGGUGCGGGUAUCGAACAGGAUUAGAUACCCUGGUAGUCCGCACAGUAAACGAUGGAUGCCCGCUGUUGGUACCUGGUAUCAGCGGCUAAGCGAAAGCAUUGAGCAUCCCACCUGGGGAGUACGCCGGCAACGGUGAAACUCAAAGGAAUUGACGGGGGCCCGCACAAGCGGAGGAACAUGUGGUUUAAUUCGAUGAUACGCGAGGAACCUUACCCGGGCUUGAAUUGCAGAGGAAGGAUUUAGAGAUAAUGACG
rnacentral:rRNA from 1 species